rnacentral:lncRNA from 1 species
UGAUGGUCCAGGUGGGAACCCUGAGCCUCCGUGUCAAAACCGCAAGUUGUUCGUGACAACUCGAGGAGCUGGGUCUGUGCUUGGAAGAGGACCCCUGCUAGGCAGUGAUGGGUAGCUAUGGAGGGAUCAAGGGCACUAGGAGCACUGCUUCCUGGGAGUCGCCUUCGAGGUCGCCCGCACUGGGCUCUGGCGCAGCCUCCCGUGGUCUGAUGUGUGGGACGCCCGCUUUCUUGGGGGCAUCGUCUCCCAGCGGCUGUCCACAGCUGUCCAUAGGGCAGGAAGACUCCGUCGGCUGCACCGUGUCUGACCCAUCUGCUGCCGGGUGACCUGGGGACGGACACUCCAAGUCCUGCUGAAGACAGGAUACGAGGGUUGAGGAGCCCCGUCCGGUUCCUAGGUGAGCCUCAACACCCAGGUGACCACGGGCCUGCUGCUGUCCAGGCACCGCAGGCCCCUCCAAGACAGCAGGAGGAAGAGGAAACUGGGGCCCAGGGAAGGCACGGCCACCCAAAGUCAUGGUCCAAGCCUCUCUGCGGAGGGAGAAGGGGAGCCUGGGAAAGCCAGAAGAUCCCC